rnacentral:rRNA from 1 species
UACACUGAUGCAUGCAACGAGUAUAUAACCUUGGCCUGAAAGGCCUGGGUAAUCUUUUGAACGUGCAUCGUGAUAGGGAUAGAUUAUUGCAAUUAUUAAUCUUGAACGAGGAAUUCCUAGUAAACGCAAAUCAUCAAUCUGCAUUGAUUACGUCCCUGCCCUUUGUACACACCGAA